rnacentral:rRNA from 1 species
UACGUAGGGUGCGAGCGUUGUCCGGAAUUAUUGGGCGUAAAGAGCUCGUAGGCGGUCUGUCGCGUCGGCCGUGAAAACCUGCAGCUUAACUGUGGGCGUGCGGUCGAUACGGGCAUCACUGGAGUUCGGCAGGGGAGACUGGAAUUCCUGGUGUAGCGGUGGAAUGCGCAGAUAUCAGGAGGAACACCGGUGGCGAAGGCGGGUCUCUGGGCAGUAACUGACGCUGAGGAGCGAAAGCGUGGGGAGCGAACAGG